UACGGAGGGGGCUAGCGUUGUUCGGAAUUACUGGGCGUAAAGCGCACGUAGGCGGCUUUGCAAGUUAGAGGUGAAAGCCCGGGGCUCAACUCCGGAAUUGCCUUUAAAACUGCAUCGCUAGAAUUGUGGAGAGGUAAGUGGAAUUCCGAGUGUAGAGGUGAAAUUCGUAGAUAUUCGGAAGAACACCAGUGGCGAAGGCGACUUACUGGGACGGUAUUGACGCUGAGGUGCGAAAGCGUGGGGAGCAAACAGG
rnacentral:rRNA from 1 species